AAACCAUGAUGGGGAUGCUGUCUUUGUAGACCUUUAAACCUUUCCCAAACUUCAUAUAAAGACACAUCAUCGCUUUGGUAAAAUGUGGUGAUCUUAUUUCUCAAUUU